UGUCCUUCUUUAAUUGGACAUUGGAAAGGUGCUUCGAAACUCGCAAAAUCAUAAAUAUAAUUAACGGAAAGCACACAGAAAAAAAAAACAAACUUGGAAAAGGAAACAAACAGACUCAAGCUGAACAAAAAGAAAAAGAAAAAAGGCCUGGAAUCCCAUUCUUUUCUUAUCACUUUAAGCAACUUCUUUUGUGCAUCAGCCAUUCAAGAGACCGAUUACCCAUGAACAUCCAAAAGUUGACUUUUCGAACCCUAGUCUCUGUCAAUCUCCACGAGUUCAUCGGACUGACCAAACGCACAUAGUCCAAACUCAACAAUUCUAGUCAUCCACCAUCAUCGCCGCUACUCCUAUCGCGCUUCACCAGUCCUUCCACCGCGCUCGAUACAUUUUCCAUCCAGCAUUGGGGAUCUUCAUAUCUUCGCCCUUCCAAUGCCAUCCCAUGUGCUGCUUUAUUGGCUUCCCUUGAGUUUAGUUUUCUGAUUACAGUUAACGCAUCUCCCUCAACACAUAUAUCUUGAAAGCCUAUUUCUUCUGCUAUAGUAACAGCCUGCAAACACGCCUUCAACUUAGCCAUAAUCGGAUCUGAAAUAUUCUCCCAUGGGUAAGUACACGAUGCCAUCACAAAUCAUUCCUUAUUCCGCGCAAUGAUUCCUGAAUAUGAUCUUCUAGAAUGCUAAUUAAACGAAGCGUCAAAAUUAAUUUUUAUAACAUUAUCAAUAGGUGGUUUCCACACAUAGCUAUUAAUCUCAUGCACGUUCUUCAAGAUUUCACCCAUUUGCGUUAUUUCUGUGCAAUAUGCUCCGAUAAAUCCCACAAUUUCAUGUACUCGUUCCCUUGUCCUUUCAUGGUAGAUUCUGUUUCGAUUGUACCAUAAAGCCCAGUAAGAAAUACUUCUAAUUUUGCAUUUUUCAUUACUAUGAUUCUCAAACUCUAAUGCUAACCAUUUUUCCAAUUGGAUUCUCUGUUGUUUGUUGGAUUAACCACCCCCAAAUCCCCCAAUACCUGUUGAGUAAAGCUGCAAUCCCGAAAAAGGUGGCUCACCGUUUCUUCUUCUACUCGGCAUAUUAGACAAAACGUGUUUACCACCAACUUACGGCUCUCAGAUUAUAUAGUACAGGCAGAAAUUCAUUAGCAACCUUCCACAUAUGUAUAUGUAUCUUGCUUGGCACAUUAAGAGCCCAUAUUUUUGUAAAGAAUUGAUAUAGAAAUUUAUUUUGUAUCCUAGAUCCCUCCCCUGUAAUUAGCCACUUAUAACCACUUUUGACUGUGUAAAUUCUUAAAUUAUCGCCUCUCUAUAUUAACGCAUCCUGUGGUUCA